UUCAAACCCAAUUAAUGGUUAAGGGUGUUUUCUACUCCACGGUCACAUUGGCAUAAAUAAACUGUACUUUUUAUAAUAGACUGACCAUACACUGCAGGCCAACUUUGUCUUAGUGAUAUUUGAUACAUACAUCUGUUGUGGUUAUUACACCAUACACCUUCGUAAUUCAGUUUUCUUUUCUGUUGUUACUUGAUCCCUUUUGAGCUAUCGCAAUAUUUGCUAUUUACUGGAAUUCUCUUUGAAUUCUCUAACCAUGACACAUAUUGUGGUUGCUAAUGUUUUCUUUUCAGGUGUACAUUAUUAGAGCGAAUGGUCCUUCAAAGGAUAAACAACUCGAGUGAAUUGCAUUUGGAGAUUGCAGCCAGUAAAUUAAUCUAGGAGCUCUAAUGUAGUGGAAGAAACGUCUUCGGGCUCAGUUUGUGUGAAAGACCAACUUGUGUUUGUAUGUAUCCUCUUUGAGGAGUGCAAGUUCAUGUAACUAUUCUACUUCUGUAAUCUAUAUAUGCAUAUAAUUGAAUUGAAUGACCCCAUGACGAACUUCUUGAA